GACGAAGGUGGCAAGCGUUGUUCGGAAUCACUGGGCUUAAAGGGUGCGUAGGCGGCCUAUCAAGCGUCUUGUGAAAUCCCUCGGCUCAACCGAGGAAUUGCUGGGCGAACUGAUAGGCUUGAGGCAGGUAUGGGCGCGCGGAACUCUUGGUGGAGCGGUGAAAUGCGUAGAUAUCAAGAGGAACGCCAGAGGUGAAGACGGCGCGCUGGGCCUGUCCUGACGCUGAGGCACGAAAGCCAGGGGAGCAAACGGG
rnacentral:rRNA from 1 species